ACUUAAGCAUAUCAAUAAGCGGAGGAAAAGAAACCAACAGGGAUUGCCCUAGUAACGGCGAGUGAAGCGGCAACAGCUCAAAUUUGAAAUCUGGCCCUCGGGUCCGAGUUGUAAUUUGUAGAGGAUGCUUUUGGUGCGGUACCUUCCGAGUUCCCUGGAACGGGACGCCAUAGAGGGUGAGAGCCCCGUCUGGUUGGAUGCCAAACCUCUGUAAAGCUCCUUCGACGAGUCGAGUAGUUUGGGAAUGCUGCUCUAAAUGGGAGGUAUAUGUCUUCUAAAGCUAAAUAUUGGCCAGAGACCGAUAGCGCACAAGUAGAGUGAUCGAAAGAUGAAAAGCACUUUGAAAAGAGAGUUAAAAAGUACGUGAAAUUGUUGAAAGGGAAGCGCUUAUGACCAGACUUGGACUUGGUUGAUCAUCCUGGGUUCUCCCUGGUGCACUCUUCCAGUUCAGGCCAGCAUCAGUUCGCUGCGGGGGAUAAAAGCUUUGGGAAUGUGGCUCCUCCGGGAGUGUUAUAGCCCAUUGCACAAUACCCUGCUCCGGACUGAGGUUCGCGCAUCUGCAUGGAUGCUGGCGUAAUGGUCAUCAGCGACCCGUCUUGAAACACGGACCAAGGAGUCGUCUUCGUAUGCGAGUGUUCGGGUGUUAAACCCCUACGCGUAAUGAAAGUGAACGCAGGUGAGAGCUUCGGCGCAUCAUCGACCGAUCCUGAUGUUCUCGGAUGGAUUUGAGUAAGAGCAUACGGGGCCGGACCCGAAAGAAGGUGAACUAUGCCUGUAUAGGGUGAAGCCAGAGGAAACUCUGGUGGAGGCUCGCAGCGGUUCUGACGUGCAAAUCGAUCGUCAAAUAUGGGCAUGGGGGCGAAAGACUAAUCGAACCUUCUAGUAGCUGGUUUCCGCCGAAGU
rnacentral:rRNA from 1 species